AACGAACGCUGGCGGCAUGCCUAACACAUGCAAGUCGAACGAGACCUUCGGGUCUAGUGGCGCACGGGUGCGUAACGCGUGGGAACCUGCCCUUAGGUUCGGCAUAACUCCCCGAAAGGGGUGCUAAUACCGGAUAAUGUCUUCGGACCAAAGAUUUAUCGCCUUUGGAUGGGCCCGCGUUGGAUUAGCUAGUUGGUAGGGUAAAAGCCUACCAAGGCGACGAUCCAUAGCUGGUCUGAGAGGAUGAUCAGCCACACUGGGACUGAGACACGGCCCAGACUCCUACGGGAGGCAGGAGUGGGGAAUAUUGGACAAUGGGCGAAAGCCUGAUCCAGCAAUGCCGGGUGAGUGAUGAAGGCCUUAGGGUUGUAAAGCUCUUUUACCCGGGAUGAUAAUGACGGUACCGGGAGAAUAAGCUCCGGCUAACUCCGUG
rnacentral:rRNA from 1 species